GGACUACCAGGGUAUCUAAUCCCAUUCGCUCCCCACGCUUUCGUCCUAGCAGUGUCAGGUGGCACCCAGAAGCCUGCCUUCGCUUUCGGUGUUCCGAACGAUAUCAACGCAUUUCACUACUACACCGUUCGUUCCAGCUUCCUAUUUGCCCCUCUAGUCUUGCAGUAUUUUGAGCAAACGCAGAAGUUAAGCUUCUGGCUUUUACCCAAAACUUUCAAAACCACCUAUCGGUACGCUUUACGCCCAAUGAUUCCGGAUAACGCUUGAGGUCUCUGUAUUACCGCGGCUGCUGGCAC
rnacentral:rRNA from 1 species